rnacentral:rRNA from 1 species
UGCAAGUCGAACGGUGAACCAGGAGCUUGCUCUUGGGGAUCAGUGGCGAACGGGUGAGUAACACGUGAGCAACCUGCCCCUGACUCUGGGAUAAGCGCUGGAAACGGCGUCUAAUACUGGAUAUGAACUGGAACCGCAUGGUUACUGGUUGGAAAGAUUUUUCGGUUGGGGAUGGGCUCGCGGCCUAUCAGCUUGUUGGUGAGGUAAUGGCUCACCAAGGCGUCGACGGGUAGCCGGCCUGAGAGGGUGACCGGCCACACUGGGACUGAGACACGGCCCAGACUCCUACGGGAGGCAGCAGUGGGGAAUAUUGCACAAUGGGCGGAAGCCUGAUGCAGCAACGCCGCGUGAGGGACGACGGCCUUCGGGUUGUAAACCUCUUUUAGCAGGGAAGAAGCGAGAGUGACGGUACCUGCAGAAAAAGCGCCGGCUAACUACGUGCCAGCAGCCGCGGUAAUACGUAGGGCGCAAGCGUUAUCCGGAAUUAUUGGGCGUAAAGAGCUCGUAGGCGGUUUGUCGCGUCUGCUGUGAAAUCCCGAGGCUCAACCUCGGGCCUGCAGUGGGUACGGGCAGACUAGAGUGCGGUAGGGGAGAUUGGAAUUCCUGGUGUAGCGGUGGAAUGCGCAGAUAUCAGGAGGAACACCGAUGGCGAAGGCAGAUCUCUGGGCCGUAACUGACGCUGAGGAGCGAAAGGGUGGGGAGCAAACAGGCUUAGAUACCCUGGUAGUCCACCCCGUAAACGUUGGGAACUAGUUGUGGGGUCCAUUCCACGGAUUCCGUGACGCAGCUAACGCAUUAAGUUCCCCGCCUGGGGAGUACGGCCGCAAGGCUAAAACUCAAAGGAAUUGACGGGGACCCGCACAAGCGGCGGAGCAUGCGGAUUAAUUCGAUGCAACGCGAAGAACCUUACCAAGGCUUGACAUAUACGAGAACGGGCCAGAAAUGGUCAACUCUUUGGACACUCGUAAACAGGUGGUGCAUGGUUGUCGUCAGCUCGUGUCGUGAGAUGUUGGGUUAAGUCCCGCAACGAGCGCAACCCUCGUUCUAUGUUGCCAGCACGUAAUGGUGGGAACUCAUGGGAUACUGCCGGGGUCAACUCGGAGGAAGGUGGGGAUGACGUCAAAUCAUCAUGCCCCUUAUGUCUUGGGCUUCACGCAUGCUACAAUGGCCGGUACAAAGGGCUGCAAUACCGUGAGGUGGAGCGAAUCCCAAAAAGCCGGUCCCAGUUCGGAUUGAGGUCUGCAACUCGACCUCAUGAAGUCGGAGUCGCUAGUAAUCGCAGAUCAGCAACGCUGCGGUGAAUACGUUCCCGGGUCUUGUACACACCGCCCGUCAAGUCAUGAAAGUCGGUAACACCUGAAGCCGGUGGCCUAACCCUUGUGGAGGGAGCCGU